UUAACUAAAAUUUGUAUGGAGUUGAAAUGUUUGCCUGCGUUUGCCGCUAGGGGCGCUGUUCCAACUGCAUAGAAAUAUGAGUUA
rnacentral:pre_miRNA from 1 species